rnacentral:lncRNA from 1 species
GUGGAGGGUCGAAGCUGUGGUCGAAUCCUAUGACCCAACUCCUAGUCACCCCUUCGGUGGUCCUGAGUCAUCCCUCGAGGUCAAAGAGGGGCUGAGAGGGUAGGUCCUCUGCCACAUUUCUGACUCUGAGAGCUGGACGUGGCUCCGUGUGAUUGUGGGGUCACUGAUGACCCCACAUCAUUCGAACUUGAGAGUAUCAAG